AAUUCAACUAUGCAAGCACUAAAAAGAAAAUUGCAAAGGCUCAGACUGGCUUGGACAAAGGAUGACUAGAUCUAACUAUUUUUCUGGUUUUUUCUAGGGUAAUAGGUAAGAAAAAUAAAUAUAAUCUAGGGAUAACUGGAAAUUCUCACCAAACAACCUGAAAACUGAUACCACUUGAUAGAGCACUUGAUGUAGGCGAGGGUGUCCCGAUCUUUCGGUGAGAUGAUAACUAUCGGUUUUGUGGAGAUGACUUUGACGAUCUGACUACAAGCGUGCACAACGCCGCGCCUUAGCAAUCGGUAAACC
rnacentral:lncRNA from 1 species